UGCGGGGUAGAGCAGUUGGUAGCUCGUCGGGCUCAUAACCCGGAGGUCGCAGGUUCGAGUCCUGUCCCCGCUACUA
rnacentral:tRNA from 2 species